rnacentral:sRNA from 1 species
UUAUUAAUUAGAGUUGCCGCGAAACUC